ACACUUUUCCCAUAUUGCUGGGUGGAACUCUCUGAACCUCUCCAGGUUCUGAGUGCUACCUGAUUCAUGAAUCAGUCUUUACUCAAAUAAUCUUGACUGAAUUUAACUUGUCUCAAAUUGUUCUUUUUAUUAGUGAUCAUAACUGAUAUACUCACACUAAGCUACUUCUCUACCAAGAAAUAACAAAUUCCAAUCAGGAUAUAAUCAGUGAUACUUUAGCAGAGUUAAUAAGCCCAGCCAACAGCCAAGGCCCAUUCGUAAUAUCCAUUUUGUGGCGAUGCUUCUAUGUUUCAGGAUUUUUCUACUUCCUGGAAAAAUAAACAUUCAACAUUUUAUCUCCCUGAUAUAUGUGGAACUGCAAAGAUGUCCCUGGAGUAGAAGAUUCUGUUAUGGCAUCUAAAGGAUGGUAAACUAGGAAUCUCUUCAGGUCAACAAUAUAAACAUAAUUCCUGGUUCAUCUUUCAAAUAUUCCCAGCACCAUCACUUUCCAAGAUGCAUGCAGUUUUUUCAUUGCCAAGAAACAGCGUAGUCGGCCCGCUGCAGACAGGCAGGUCUGCGCACGCCCUACCGAGGUCCUGAGUCACGCAAAAGAUGCCGAAUCACCCCGCUGCAGACAGGGAGCCACCUGAUUCCACAAUACAAAGACUCAGAGGACACCAGACCACCAGACCAAGGAAGCCUGAGAAUCAUUGUUUGGAGGAAAAUAAAACAAAGAGUUUCAAAAACACCCAGAAGACACUUUUUUUACCUUGUGGUCUCUGUUGAAUCAUCAUCUUUUCAGGAACAAUUAAAUCACAACUCUGAACAUCUAUGAUCAGAAAUCCGAGGAGGGCAUUUAAACCAUAAUGAGGAACCUGAAGUGGGAGAAGUUAAGGAUGGAGAAAUUCCAUGUAGAAGGCUGACCUUGAACCUGCAUCAUACUGGCUCUAGAUGCUCAGCCCUUGGCCACCACAGCCUACUUCCUCUCAUCAAAGUGGUACAUUGCGAGUGGUGGAGAGCAACUUUUAAUUGCCUGACUAACUUUUCAGGGGGAAUCCCACAGACCAAGUUACCCCAUGGGGCUGACUUUCCAAGAAACAUUAAUCUUGGUGACUACCCAUUUCCUGUGAAUUCUGCUGACCCAGGAUGGAGAGCCUUACCCUCUGC